CCUACGGGUGGCAGCAGUGAGGAAUAUUGGUCAAUGGACGAGAGGCUGAACCAGCCAAGUAGCGUGAAGGAUGACUGCCCUACGGGUUGUAAACUUCUUUUAUAUGGGAAUAAAACAGGGUAUGCAUACCCUCUUGUAUGUACCAUAUGAAUAAGGAUCGGCUAACUCCGUGCCAGCAGCCGCGGUAAUACGGAGGAUCCGAGCGUUAUCCGGAUUUAUUGGGUUUAAAGGGAGCGUAGGCGGGUUGUUAAGUCAGUUGUUAAAGUUUGCGGCGCAACCGUAAAAUUGCAGUUGAAACUGGCAGCCUUGAGUACAGUAGAGGUAGGCGGAAUUCGUGGUGUAGCGGUGAAAUGCUUAGAUAUCACGAAGAACUCCGAUUGCGAAGGCAGCCCACUGGACUGCAACUGACACUGAUGCUCGAAAGUGUGGGUAUCAAACAGGAUUAGAUACCCCUGUAGUC
rnacentral:rRNA from 1 species